rnacentral:lncRNA from 1 species
CCUGGAGAGAAAGCAGUGGGAAAGAAUGAGAGCUGAGGAUCCAUCCCAGACUACCUUGUUGACACUGAACAGUUCCUUUGGCACAGGCUGCCGGUUACCUGUGUGAUCCAGUGAUGAACGUUUGAUACAGGUGAGAAGAUAAAUGAUUUAUCCAAAGUCAUACCACAAGAUCUGAACCAAGUUCUUCCAUCUCUAGCAUAAUCAAUAUUCUUUCCCCCUCCAUGACUCUUUAAGCCCUACAAAUGGAAACAGGAAAUUGGGACCUAAAAAAAUUUUUUUUUUGGAAAAUAUCUAAGAUGCCCUGGACACAAAAGAGGAAGAAGGAAACGUUGAUAAGACUUUGACAAACAAGAUGAUUUCAUUGUAGACAACUUUGAGAAAAUGUUUAUAGUUCAAAUAGACCAGGUCAUAGCUCAAAGGUAUAUGCUGACUUCAAUUUUGUCUCAACCAGUUCUCCUGUUAUAUUUCCUCUUUAAAUUGAAACCAGAUAAUGAUUGGAUCAUGAGAUUUAUAACUAAAAGUAGCUUUAGAGGUCUUUGAAUCUAACCUACUUUAUAUAGAUAAGGAAACAGAAGUCCCAAAGAAAUUGUUAUUCCCCAAAAGUCAGACUUAAAACCCCAGCCUUCUGGCAUGUUUUCUUCUAUUCUAUGAAUGUAGAAUAAUGAAGAAGAUACUGGACAUUAAGAAAAACUAGGUUCAAUUCUUAUUUCCAGCAUUUUAUAGGUAUGUGAUCAUGAAUAAGUUUCUAAACUUGUUUUCUCAUCUGUUAAAAGUAGAUAGCAACAGAUCUGCAAUUUAAAUGAAAGAACAUAAAUAAAGAACUUUGUAAAG